rnacentral:tRNA from 1 species
UGGCUCAUUGGUUAAGAGCACUGGACUCUUCCAGAGGUCCUGAGUUCAAUUCCCAG